UCAGCCGUCCAUGUAUCCCCUCACCCCCAAAACGCUCUCAACCCCUUCUGAACCAUAUCCUUUCUCCGGCUCCAUUUCUCCGGCGUUUAUGGCUUCUCAAGCUUCAAAACAUAUGUACUCACCUCUCCCUGCCUCCUAUGGUUCAUUUUUCGAACAUCGAAGCCCUAUCUUGAAUACUAUAGACACAAAGGUCCUUCGACUGGAGUUUUAC
rnacentral:lncRNA from 1 species